AUGCAUGUCUCAGUACAAGCCAAAUUAAGGUGAAACCGCGAAAGGCUCAUUAAAUCAGUUAUGGUUCCUUAGAUCGUACCCACAUUUACUUGGAUAACUGUGGUAAUUCUAGAGCUAAUACAUGCAAACAGAGCUCUGACCGGAGACGGAAGGGGCGCUUAUAUUAGAUCAAAACCAAUCGGUGGCGGGUUAUCUCGUCAUCGUACAUUUGGGUGACUCGGAAUAUUGUUUUUGGCUGAUCGCACGGUCCAGCACCGGCGACGUAUCUUUCAAAUGUCUGCCUUAUCAACUGUCGAUGGUAGGUUCUGCGCCUACCAUGGUUGUAACGGGUAACGGGGAAUCAGGGUUCGAUUCCGGAGAGGGAGCCUGAGAAACGGCUACCACAUCCAAGGAAGGCAGCAGGCGCGCAAAUUACCCACUCCCGGCACGGGGAGGUAGUGACGAAAAAUAACGAUACGGGACUCAUCCGAGGCCCCGUAAUCGGAAUGAGUACACUCUAAACCCUUUAACGAGGAUCAAUUGGAGGGCAAGUCUGGUGCCAGCAGCCGCGGUAAUUCCAGCUCCAAUAGCGUAUAUUAAAGUUGUUGCGGUUAAAAAGCUCGUAGUCGAAUCUGUGUCCCGCGCCGCCGGUUCAUCGCUCGCGGUGUUUAACUGGCGUGUCGCGAGACGUCCUGCCGGUGGGCUUAGCUCGUUCGCGAGCGGCCCAACUUCAAAUCCCACUGCGGUGCUCUUCACUGAGUGUCGGGGUGGGCCGGCACGUUUACUUUGAACAAAUUAGAGUGCUUAAAGCAGGCUAAAACUUCGCCUGAAUACUGUGUGCAUGGAAUAAUGGAAUAGGACCUCGGUUCUAUUUUGUUGGUUUUCGGAACCCCGAGGUAAUGAUUAAUAGGAACGGAUGGGGGCAUUCGUAUUGCGACGUUAGAGGUGAAAUUCUUGGAUCGUCGCAAGACGGACAGAAGCGAAAGCAUUUGCCAAAAACGCUUUCAUUGAUCAAGAACGAAAGUUAGAGGUUCGAAGGCGAUCAGAUACCGCCCUAGUUCUAACCAUAAACGAUGCCAGCUAGCGAUCCGCCGACGUUCCUCCGAUGACUCGGCGGGCAGCUUCCGGGAAACCAAAGCUUUUGGGUUCCGGGGGAAGUAUGGUUGCAAAGCUGAAACUUAAAGGAAUUGACGGAAGGGCACCACCAGGAGUGGAGCCUGCGGCUUAAUUUGACUCAACACGGGAAACCUCACCAGGCCCGGACACCGGAAGGAUUGACAGAUUGAGAGCUCUUUCUUGAUUCGGUGGGUGGUGGUGCAUGGCCGUUCUUAGUUGGUGGAGCGAUUUGUCUGGUUAAUUCCGAUAACGAACGAGACUCUAGCCUGCUAACUAGGCGCACUUUCGACAUCUCAAAGGCCCGCCGGCCCGGCAUCCGUGCCGAAGUCGCGCGCGGUUUUUACUGUCGGCGUAUAAUUAAUUCUUCUUAGAGGGACAGGCGGCUUCUAGCCGCACGAGAUUGAGCAAUAACAGGUCUGUGAUGCCCUUAGAUGUUCUGGGCCGCACGCGCGCUACACUGAAGGAAUCAGCGUGUCCUCCCUGGCCGAGAGGCCCGGGUAACCCGCUGAACCUCCUUCGUGCUAGGGAUUGGGGCUUGCAAUUGUUCCCCAUGAACGAGGAAUUCCCAGUAAGCGCGAGUCAUAAGCUCGCGUUGAUUACGUCCCUGCCCUUUGUACACACCGCCCGUCGCUACUACCGAUUGAAUGAUUUAGUGAGGUCUUCGGACCGGUACGCGGUGGCGCUACCGCGUCGCC
rnacentral:rRNA from 1 species